GCAGAGCAUCCUACGGGAGGCAGCAGUGGGGAAUAUUGCACAAUGGGCGCAAGCCUGAUGCAGCCAUGCCGCGUGUAUGAAGAAGGCCUUCGGGUUGUAAAGUACUUUCAGCAGUGAGGAAGUGGGUAUGUUAAUAGCAUACUCAUUUGACGUUAGCUGCAGAAGAAGCACCGGCUAACUCCGUGCCAGCAGCCGCGGUAAUACGGAGGGUGCGAGCGUUAAUCGGAAUUACUGGGCGUAAAGCGCAUGCAGGUGGUUUGUUAAGUCAGAUGUGAAAGCCCGGGGCUCAACCUCGGAAUUGCAUUUGAAACUGGCAAACUAGAGUACUGUAGAGGGGGGUAGAAUUUCAGGUGUAGCGGUGAAAUGCGUAGAGAUCUGAAGGAAUACCGGUGGCGAAGGCGGCCCCCUGGACAGAUACUGACACUCAGAUGCGAAAGCGUGGGGAGCAAACAGGAUUAGAUACCCUGGUAG
rnacentral:rRNA from 1 species